rnacentral:rRNA from 1 species
UACGGGGGGGGCAAGCGUUGUUCGGAAUUACUGGGCGUAAAGGGCUCGUAGGUGGCCAACUAAGUCAGACGUGAAAUCCCUCGGCUUAACCGGGGAACUGCGUCUGAUACUGGAUGGCUUGAGUUUGGGAGAGGGACGCGGAAUUCCAGGUGUAGCGGUGAAAUGCGUAGAUAUCAGGAGGAACACCGGUGGCGAAGGCGGUUCUCUGGGAAUGACCUGACGCUGAGGAGCGAAAGUGUGGGGAGCGAACAGG